rnacentral:rRNA from 1 species
AUUGAACGCUGGCGGCAGGCUUAACACAUGCAAGUCGAGCGGAGAUGAGGUGCUUGCACCUUAUCUUAGCGGCGGACGGGUGAGUAAUGCUUAGGAAUCUGCCUAUUAGUGGGGGACAACAUUCCGAAAGGAAUGCUAAUACCGCAUACGCCCCACGGGGGAAAGCAGGGGAUCUUCGGACCUUGCGCUAAUAGAUGAGCCUAAGUCGGAUUAGCUAGUUGGUGGGGUAAAGGCCUACCAAGGCGACGAUCUGUAGCGGGUCUGAGAGGAUGAGCCGCCACACUGGGACUGAGACACGGCCCAGACUCCUACGGGAGGCAGCAGUGGGGAAUAUUGGACAAUGGGCGGAAGCCUGAUCCAGCUAUGCCGCGUGUGUGAAGAAGGCCUUUUGGUUGUAAAGCACUUUAAGCGAGGAGGAGGCUACCUGGAUUAAUACUCUAGGAUAGUGGACGUUACUCGCAGAAUAAGCACCGGCUAACUCUGUGCCAGCCGCCGCUGUAAAAC